UAAAGAUUCAUCGCUGAUAGAUAGGCAUGCGUUCCAUUAGGCAGUUGGCGGGGUAACGGCCCACCAAACCGACGAUGGAUAGGGGUUCUGAGAGGAAGGUCCCCCACAUUGGUACUGAGACACGGACCAAACUCCUACGGGAGGCAGCAGUGAGGAAUAUUGGUCAAUGGGCGUAAGCCUGAACCAGCCAAGUCGCGUGAGGGAUGAAGGUUCUAUGGAUCGUAAACCUCUUUUAUAAGGGAAUAAAGUGCGGGACGUGUCCCGUUUUGUAUGUACCUUAUGAAUAAGGAUCGGCUAACUCCGUGCCAGCAGCCGCGGUAAUACGGAGGAUCCGAGCGUUAUCCGGAUUUAUUGGGUUUAAAGGGUGCGUAGGCGGCCUUUUAAGUCAGCGGUGAAAGUCUGUGGCUCAACCAUAGAAUUGCCGUUGAAACUGGGAGGCUUGAGUAUGUUUGAGGCAGGCGGAAUGCGUGGUGUAGCGGUGAAAUGCUUAGAUAUCACGCAGAACCCCGAUUGCGAAGGCAGCCUGCCAAGCCAUGACUGGCGCUGAUGCACGAAAGCGUGGGGAUCAAACAGGAUUAGAUACCCUGGUAGUCCACGCAGUAAACGAUGAUCACUAGCUGUUUGCGAUACACAGUAA
rnacentral:rRNA from 1 species